rnacentral:rRNA from 1 species
UACGUAGGGUGCGAGCGUUGUCCGGAAUUACUGGGCGUAAAGAGCUCGUAGGUGGUUUGUCGCGUUGUUCGUGAAAACUCACAGCUUAACUGUGGGCGUGCGGGCGAUACGGGCAGACUGGAGUACUGCAGGGGAGACUGGAACUCCUGGUGUAGCGGUGGAAUGCGCAGAUAUCAGGAAGAACACCAACGGCGAAGGCAGCUCGCUGGGACGGAACUGACGCUGAGGCGCGAAAGCGUGGGGAGCGAACAGG